CAUUCCUUAACUCCCAUGUGUAGCUAUACACAGAAUGGGAUUUUACAUAUGCUGGACAGAAAUAAGAGAAUCAAGCCCCGACCAGAAGGUUCCAGAACUGCAAAGACCUGUUUGAUCUGAUCCUCACUUGCGAAGAGAGAGUGUAUGACCAGGUGGUGGAAGAUCUGAAUUCCAGAGAACAGGAGACCUGCCAGCCUGUGCACGUGGUCAAUGUGGACAUCCAGGACAACCACGAGGAGGCCACCCUAGGGGCAUUUCUCAUCUGUGAGCUCUGCCAGUGUAUCCAGCACACGGAAGACAUGGAGAACGAGAUUGACGAGCUGCUGCAGGAGUUUGAGGAGAAGAGUGGCCGCACCUUUCUGCACACCGUCUGCUUCUACUGAGCCCAGCGCCCGCCUGGAGCCGCCUCUGGAGCUUCCUGUUCAUACUUUUUCCUUCCUGACAUUGGUUUUUACUUACAGGUGUUCCGCUGGUGACGGUAGCAUUGCCCAAAUAAAACUGUGCAUAUGAAAUGGGAGAGGAGAUGCCAGAAGGCCAGAUUAAAGCAAUCAAGUUUUUUCUUUCCCACUUUUACUUAUGAGCGGGAUAUUGAUUAUAAAGUUUUCUUCUUUAACCAGAAAGGAAAGACGGUUUGUGUGCACUUCCCGACGUACCUGUGUCUCCAUGUGCCUGCCUUCCCUCCCUCCUCCCCACCCGGCUGGACUGUACACAGCCCUGCUGCGGCGUGUUGGGAAUGACCUGGAAUUGUCAAUAAACAGAUGCUGCUGUCA